rnacentral:rRNA from 1 species
GACGAACGCUGGCGGCGUGCUUAACACAUGCAAGUCGAACGGAAAGGCCCUGCUUGCAGGGUACUCGAGUGGCGAACGGGUGAGUAACACGUGGGUGAUCUGCCCUGCACUUCGGGAUAAGCUUGGGAAACUGGGUCUAAUACCGGAUAGGAGCCAUCUUUAGUGUGGUGGUUGGAAAGUUUUUUCGGUGUAGGAUGAGCUCGCGGCCUAUCAGCUUGUUGGUGGGGUAAUGGCCUACCAAGGCGGCGACGGGUAGCCGGCCUGAGAGGGUGUACGGCCACAUUGGGACUGAGAUACGGCCCAGACUCCUACGGGAGGCAGCAGUGGGGAAUAUUGCACAAUGGGCGCAAGCCUGAUGCAGCGACGCCGCGUGGGGGAUGAAGGCCUUCGGGUUGUAAACUCCUUUCGCUAGGGACGAAGCUUUUUUGUGACGGUACCUAGAGAAGAAGCACCGGCUAACUACGUG